rnacentral:rRNA from 1 species
UUUAUGGAGAGUUUGAUCCUGGCUCAGAGUGAACGCUGGCGGCGUGCCUAAUACAUGCAAGUCGAACGAUGAAGCUUUUACUUGCUAGAAGUGGAUUAGUGGCGCACGGGUGAGUAAGGUAUAGUUAAUCUGCCCUACACAAGAGGACAACAGUUGGAAACGACUGCUAAUACUCUAUACUCCUGCUUAACACAAGUUGAGUAGGGA